rnacentral:misc_RNA from 1 species
GGUCAUAACCAUGUCUGGACGUGGCAAGGGUGGUAA